GCUGUUGCUGUCCAAAUGCAUAAUUUUGACUGCGGUGUUAUAAAUGUGUACGAUCUGCAAUGCAGUUUGAAAGCAUUUUGUUUUUUUGAAACAUCUGAAUCUAUUAUUUUUCUAAGUUUAAAUUUCUGGCUGAUGGAGGAAUUAAUAUUGUCUCGAAGACAUCUACAAUAUUUAUUAGGAUUUAGCAAAGAAAAUUUGUUUACUACUGGCCCGAUAUUCGGACAGUGUGAUGGUGACAAGAAAUUUAUGGUUCAUGUGGCACAGGCAGCUGAUCCUACCGCUGCUGCACUGCCGCCCACAGACACCAUAGAGCAGAUAGACAUCAACACCGUCGCUGAGCAUGCAAAACAAGCAAUUCGUGUUCUCCCGGGGGGUAUGUCAGUGUUGGGCAUUUUUGUGGUCGGCCCUAACCUGGCCAGUCCUGAAGGAAAAGCCCAUUUGUGUCAAAGUUUGAAGGUGCUGGCAGAUAUGUGCUCCUCUGACUUCUACCAGAUGGGGAUACCUUCAAACAGGAAAUUCGUUGUACUUUCUGCAAAUAGUUCUGAAAAAACUCUUGACUGCAGUUCCUGUGAGAUUUUAAAAAAAGGGGUGUCUAUUAAACCAAUGACAUACAGUGUAGUGCCUGAAAUUAUAUGGCAUGAGAUUGCUGCAUUGGUUGAUUUAGAUAUUCAAAUGUUGAUUUCAGCAAACAGGACAGCUUUACCAUUGUGGGACCAACUUAAGCCAUUGCUCCUUAAGCUGGAAGAGGUGAUAAACAGUAAUGGAAUUGCAUUUCCAAAAGCAGGAAUCGUGAAGAUCACAGAUACAAUAUCGGAAGUACUGAUGAAACAGAAGAAAAAUUUGGCAUCUCUGCCUAUACAAAAUGAUUUGGAUGAAGGAGAUAAGCAAGCACUUAUGGUGGAUGUUAUGUUGAAAGAGGAUUUGUCAGAGAGCAAAGAUGUCAAUAUUGUAAGUGGAGAUGGAAGCAGAAUGAUUUUGUCCGGUGCAGUCAUGUGUCGAACAUACGUUCAUAACGAUGCUGAUGUACAAAUGUGUAAGAAGGUUAUAAAUGAAGAUAUAAUGCACUCAUUAAUUGCAAGAUUAGAGAUGCAUUGUGAUAGUCUUAUUGAAGAGGAACCAGAUGAUGUGUGUGAUGAUGUUGUGAUACAUGAGCCUCCACGGAGAAUGAUGGUCCGUCUGCCUUGUUCAGAGGUCCUUUUCUCAGAUUAUUUGUUUCCUGGGGAACUAGUGACUGAAGCAAAGCAGUCAUUGCAAAGUCUGUUGGAUGUCAGUGUACGUGAUGUUGAUAUUUUGCACUCUUCUGCAGGAUUAUCAGGUUAGUAACUAAAAUCUGUUACUUUUUCUUAAAUAUUUUUUGUUAAAAAUUUCACUGUUAUUGAUGACCCGCUACUCGGCACUUGUUGGCCAGGACCUUGUACACUCUCUGUGAAGGCUACAGCUGAAACUGUACGGGACAGCUGGGCACCCCAGGGGGACGCUGUGUGGUCACGCAUGUGCUGGAGCGAGGGGUGGGGUUGAGGGACGCACAACCCUUCCACAGCUCUGAGUAGAAGGGUUAGGGGUAUUUUUCUGGAGAGCUACACUGGGCCGGUGGGACUGCCCGGCUGCUUCGUAGCAGGAUUAUGAGUAGAGAAUAGAUUUUACAGUUUUAUUUUAAGGCCAUUUUUGUUUUUAAAACAGGAGGUUUGUGUGUUAGUGCUUUUAUUUGUAUGAAUUUUGUUUCUUAAUAAAGAUAUAUUAUUCAAGAAAUAUGACACUCAACUGUACUAUUUCACCAGAAAAUAUAAUUUUAAUUAUGUUACAUAAUACAUGUUUAUAAUAAUAUAAAUUGUUCAAAUAAGCUUGUCUAGUAUAGAAUCACCUGAAACGGUGAUCAUAAUUUAGCAAGUAUAUGUUGAAAAAUUGUACUGGCAAUAAUUUAAAAAUUAGUUUUAAAAUUGUUGCUAGUUCAAUAUAAUAUAAUUUGUUUAUAUUAUACUUUUUUGGUCUACACUGUUUGCUAUAAAGUAGGUACAUGCUAAAUAGAUGAUAUUAAUUGGUUUAAAUAUGUUAAAAAUUAUUUUCUUAUGAUUUGAAUUAAUUUUUCUUAAAAACCGAUUAAUUUCAUUUUUUACCUUGUAUUUCGCUGCUGUAUAGUGUAUUGGUAUGCUUUUCCCUGUUACUUCAGUUCUAUUGCAAGUCACCUAAUAAUCUUGUCCCUAAUUAUGAGUAAAGAAACAGAGCUGUCUCAUGGACAUUACCAGUUUUGAGUCAGCUGAAAAUUACAGUUAUGUAGAGUCAUGCGAGUAUAGGCUUUUUAGGACGAGUCGAGUUCGAGCGAGUAUUCAAGAAAUGUUUCGAGUUCGAGUUAAAUUCGAGUCGAGUAGUAAAAUCCAUAAAUAUCCAUUAUUUAUAUAUAUAACUGUCAUGUUUAAAGACCAGCAAAUAUCAAGGCCCUAUUCAAAUCUCGGGUGUGAGGAUUCUCAUUGCUGCAAAUAUUUUCAUGGUCUUUAAUAAUUUUGUUUCUUUGAAAAAUGCUGAGUAUUAUAAAAUUUACAUGUAAACAAAAAAUAAGUAUAAAGGCAUGUUUUAAUCACCGACACUGAGCAAAAUUUUAUUCAAAACCAUAGCAUAAGUGGAAAAGUAUUUCUCAACAUUCUUAUCAGUCACCUAGCUGCAGGGUAUAUUAAGGAUUUCCACUGUUCCAGGAAAUUUUUGUAGCCAUACAAUAAAUAUCAACUUUUUUUAGAAUAAUAGUUAUACUGUAUAUAUUUUAAUAUAGGCCUACAUUACUAAGCCUGAACAUAACUCAAUAUUAAAAAAAAAAAAAAAGACAGUAACAUUUUACUAUAGGAAUGAUCAUAAUUAACAUUUUUGUAAAAGUCUUUCAUGGAGAAACACCAGCUGUUCAAUGUGCUCUGGAGCAAGGUUUUCUCGGCGUGUGGAUACAGUAGAAUCUCGUUGUAAAGUACAUCAAUAAAUACUCAACUUUUAUACUUAGUAAUGAAAGUACUUUAUUCUGAAAGUUACCUUUAAAACGUAGUAUUUUUGAAUUUUUAAAAAUAAAGUAGUAGGGGAUUAAACAUUAGCUUGGAAGCAAAUAUUUGUAAAACAACAAGAAUUUAAAAAAAAAAUUACUGAACUUAAUACAGUAGCCUAAAUUCUAGGCCUACAUAUACAAAAUUUAUAUCUGUCGAACACAAAAUGACAAAUGGGUUAAACUAUUUUGCAGAUAUGUACAUUUAUUGGGAUAGAAUUCCCUCAUCUUCUAGGCGAAGUCUCUUGCGACCAGCAGAUAAAGAUGACUGUUCAUACAGUUUAAUAAUUUUUUCACAAUCUUUUAUUAUUGUUGACAGUGAAGUGGGCACAAAACCAAACGACCGUGACAUAUCUGCAUUUUUCCUGCCUUUGUCAACUUCUUUUACAAUUUCCACUUUAUCCUUCAAAGUAAACUGCUUGUGUUUCUUUUUAUUUUUUUGGCCAUCCAUCCUGAUAAAAUAUUCAAUCAACAAUAUUAUUUGCCUCGUGCCACGUCAAACAUAAACAAACCUCUCAUCCAUAGAUAACUAUAGCUCUGCACUAGUAGCGCGCGUCGCGAGCAUGGCUGUGCCAGGCGACAUUCCGACCUUCAUGGCAAAACAAUUAAAGCGUGUCAGCCAUGUUGUGACACCAAACAGUUCAAAAAUUAACCUGCAUAAAUUAACAUUAUUAGAUUUUCUAUGUUGUAUAUAAGUUCAAAUAUAAUUUUUAUUUAAUGUUUGUAUCUGCGGUAAUUGAAACUUUUAAAACGUGGUAUAUAAAUAACCAAAAGAUGGUGCAGCUAAAAACAAUUGUCUUCAAGAGGGGCGAGACAGCAAUCGAUUGUUUAGAUCGUCUCGUGCACUAAAGUGUGUAAUCCAUGGAGGACGAAUGGCGCAUUAUACUGUGUUUGUUUACGUUUUAUACUCGUUAACAAUUCUUGAAAGUGCGCAAACACAGUAACUAUUAUCUAAAAUUUUCCUGAUAACUGGAAAAGAAUUGUCGGAAGAGUUUAAAUAUGAUGAAUUGAAUACCAGAACAUUAGAAAACACUAAUGUUUUGCCUGCAAAAAAUGAUGUUUUUAAAUUUAUUUUUUUGGUCCUAGGCAUUCUGGUACCAAUUAUAGGAUUUCUUAUAUUUCAUCACCAGCAGUGAAGUAUGAAGAUGUUUUUCAUAUCAUAACCAAGCAUUUAUAUAAUCAUUGUUUGACUGUGAUUUAUUGGUAAUAUGGUGAUCAACCCAGGUUAGCCUUUUAACAUUUAUAAAAGAGAAGCUUUUGCAAAAGGGGGUAGUUUCCUCAAGUUAUUUUUUGCUUCUAUAUAUAGUUUUGUGUUUUUGCCUAUAAUUUAAGCUUAAGUUGUUUUAUUUUUUCAAGAAAGGUUUAUAUAAUAGUUUUAAAAUCUUUAUAGGUGGUUUUAUAUUUCAACUAUAGCAUAAGUUAAAAGCAUGUAUUCAUAUUGUAUUUAGUUUGAACUAUCUAUUUGUAUGUAGCCUUCAUCGCAAAACUGUUUAGCUGUUGGAAUUCAGUUAUAAAUAUAUAAAAACAUAAGUUUUCUCAAAUUUUGGGAACUUUUUUUUCAGAUUUGGACAUUUUUAAAAUGAAAUCCUAGAAAUAAGCUUAUUUACACAAAGGCAACUAACUUACAAGUGGUUAAUUCAAAACUGUAUACAAAAUGAAUAUUUACUCUCAUUUCAUGCUAGCAUUGCUAUAUAAAUCAGCCUUUGAAGUUUUUAAAACUUUUGAAUAAACAAAAUCAUUUAUAACAACUUCUCAUAACAUCUUAGUUAUAUUCUGGAUUCAAUUAAAAUCAUGGGUAAAAUCACAGAAUUUUAUGAGCACAAUAAUGAAAGAAACUAGCCUCUUAGCCUGAAAAUAGCUUCGGGGGUUGCAAGGAGGUGAACGGCAUGGAAAAGAAGUAAGUAUUCUGUUGCUUCAAAUGUGUCACAUCAUGUCUGACAUGUUUAGUGAGGUCCUGACAAGACAUGAAAUCAUCUCCUGCACUAUAUUGUUAGUGAUGUCCUGAUGCUCAAUAAUGAAAGUCGUUAUCUGUGUUAGUUGAGAUGUAUGCAAGUGUAUUUUUGAUAAGUCUUAUUUUGCAAUUGGUGGAUGCUUUCAGAAAAUAAAAUUUUCAAGCAAUAAA